GACGAAGGGGGCUAGCGUUGUUCGGAAUUACUGGGCGUAAAGCGCGUGUAGGUGGUUGUCCAAGUUGGAUGUGAAAGCCUUGAGCUCAACUCAAGAAAUGCAUUCAGGACUGGGCGACUAGAGGACCGGAGAGGAUAGUGGAAUUCCCAGUGCAGUGGUGAAAUACGUAGAGAUUGGGAAGAACACCAGUGGCGAAGGCGGCUAUCUGGACGGUUUCUGACACUAAGACGCGAAAGCGUGGGGAGCAAACAGG
rnacentral:rRNA from 1 species